CGGCGGACGGGUGAGUAACGCGUGGGUAACCUGCCUCAUACAGGGGGAUAACAGUUAGAAAUGGCUGCUAAUACCGCAUAAGACCACGGUACCGCAUGGUACAGUGGUAAAAACUCCGGUGGUAUGAGAUGGACCCGCGUCUGAUUAGGUAGUUGGUGGGGUAACGGCCUACCAAGCCGACGAUCAGUAGCCGACCUGAGAGGGUGACCGGCCACAUUGGGACUGAGACACGGCCCAG
rnacentral:rRNA from 1 species